UACGUAGGGUGCGAGCGUUAAUCGGAAUUACUGGGCGUAAAGCGUGCGCAGGCGGUCUGUUAAGACCGAUGUGAAAUCCCCGGGCUUAACCUGGGAACUGCAUUGGUGACUGGCAGGCUAGAGUGUGGCGGAGGGAGGUAGAAUUCCACGUGUAGCAGUGAAAUGCGUAGAGAUGUGGAGGAAUACCGAUGGCGAAGGCAGCCUCCUGGGCCAACACUGACGCUCAUGCACGAAAGCGUGGGGAGCAAACAGG
rnacentral:rRNA from 1 species